AGAGUUUGAUCAUGGCUCAGGAUGAACGCUAGCGGCAGGCUUAACACAUGCAAGUCGAGGGGUAGAGGUUGCUUGCAACCUUGAGACCGGCGCACGGGUGCGUAACGCGUAUGCAACCUACCUUUUACAGAGGGAUAGCCCAGAGAAAUUUGGAUUAAUACCUCAUAGUAUAUAUCUUUCGCAUGUUAGGUAUAUUAAAGUUCCAACGGUAAAAGAUGGGCAUGCGUCCUAUUAGCUAGAUGGUAAGGUAACGGCUUACCAUGGCUACGAUAGGUAGGGGUCCUGAGAGGGAGAUCCCCCACACUGGUACUGAGACACGGACCAGACUCCUACGGGAGGCAGCAGUGAGGAAUAUUGGACAAUGGGCGCAAGCCUGAUCCAGCCAUGCCGCGUGCAGGAAGAAGCAUCUAUGGUGUGUAAACUGCUUUUGUACAGGAAGAAACAUCCCGACGUGUCGGGACUUGACGGUACUGUAAGAAUAAGGAUCGGCUAACUCCGUGCCAGCAGCCGCGGUAAUACAGAGGAUCCAAGCGUUAUCCGGAAUCAUUGGGUUUAAAGGGUCCGUAGGCGGUUUGGUAAGUCAGUGGUGAAAGCCCGCAGCUCAACUGUGGAACGGCCAUUGAUACUGCCAGACUUGAAUUACAAGGAAGUAACUAGAAUAUGUAGUGUAGCGGUGAAAUGCUUAGAUAUUACAUGGAAUACCAAUUGCGAAGGCAGGUUACUACUUGUGGAUUGACGCUGAUGGACGAAAGCGUGGGGAGCGAACAGGAUUAGAUACCCUGGUAGUCCAA
rnacentral:rRNA from 1 species